rnacentral:rRNA from 1 species
AACGAACGCUGGCGGCAGGCCUAACACAUGCAAGUCGAACGAAGCCUUCGGGCUUAGUGGCGGACGGGUGAGUAACGCGUGGGAACGUGCCCUUUGGUUCGGAAUAGCCCCGGGAAACUGGGAGUAAUACCGGAUAAGCUCUACGGAGGAAAGAAUUUCGCCAAAGGAUCGGCCCGCGUUGGAUUAGGUAGUUGGUGGGGUAAUGGCCUACCAAGCCGACGAUCCAUAGCUGGUUUGAGAGGAUGAUCAGCCACACUGGGACUGAGACACGGCCCAGACUCCUACGGGAGGCAGCCUGAGAGCCAAGGCACACAGGGGAUAGG